GAAGCUGGUGUCAAAAGCUUUUUUCCUGGCUCCCAUGGGAUGCUGUUACGAUUCCUGGCUUCUCGCCCUUUCUGCUUUUGUUCAUCCGCGCAGCCUCCACAUGCCAUAUUUACAAAGACUUGGAGUGACAAUUCACGGAGUUGGGUGCUCUCUGCGGUGCGAUCCAGCUUCUGUUGGUGCCACCAUACAUUGUGCUGUGUCAGAUGGUGGCAUGGAGGCAGCCAGGGCUCGAAUCCGGGACCUAUGCCUUUGGAAGCUCAAGCAAAUUCCCCAGGUGCUUAGGGGAUGGCUUCUGACAUUUAGCGAAGAGCUGAGUCAGGGUAAAAUAAUGGAAGCUUUGAAGGGAUGUUAACCACAUGCUAGGCAGCAUUCUAAAUCUUUAGAUUUAUCGGAUUAGUUGUCUAUUGCCCUGUAACUUAUUCUCCCAAAAUUUCAGUGACAAGUAUUCAACACUAUUACUUUCCUUUUUGUAUCUCAUACCAUUUUUGUGGGUAAGGUCCCUGAGAGCAGCUUGGGUGGUGGUUGUGGCUCAGGGUCUCUCAUAAGGUCGCAGACAAGCUUUCAGCUGAAGCUGCAUUAUCUGAAGGCUCAUCUGGGCCCAUUUCUAAGCUCCACCUUCCCAUGCUUGGCUCAUUUGUGCUGGUUGCUGGCAGGAACCUGCAGUUCCUUGCCAUGGAGACCCCAGAUGCUUGCCAUUUCAGAGUGCUGCUCAAGCAUCCUUAUGACAUAGCAGCUGGCUUCUCCUACAGUGCGCCCUCCAAGAGAACAAGCCAGAAGUUGCAAUGUCUUUUAUGACCUGGACUUGAAGUCACACUCUGUCAUGUUUGAAAAUCCUACUGGUAACACAGUUCAGCCUCAUCCAAUGUGGGAGGGGACUACACACACAAGGACAGAGAUACUAGGAGGUGAGGAUCACUAGAGCUAUUCUGGAGGCUGGCUUUCCAUGUAUUAACUCAUUUAAACCCUGAAAUGUGCCUGGAGAGGCUUAGUUAGAAGAGACUGAGGUGAAGAAGCUGGGGCUGUAUGUGGGAGAUCCAGAGUUCAGAGGUCCUAGAGGCAGCACUCCACACCAGCACGUGCAGGGUGUGUGUCGUGCCCACUGGUCCAGGGGCAGCGAUGUCUGCGGUCAAGGGUGGUUUGUGAAUUGUUCCUGGCUGUGUGGCUUCUGAGCUGAAAUCUUCAGCCCUGUUGGAGAUUUCGGGGGCUACCAAAUAUAAUUUGCUUGAAUAUAAUAGUUGAAGAGGGUUCUAUUAUCUGCAGUGAAGAUCUGCAAUGACUGUUACAAAUGGUCCCAAAUGCAGGGGACAUAUUAUUCUUGUAGGCUGAAUAUAGUGAGUAUGAAAGCCAUCAGCUUAAUGUAAUGGUCUGAAUGCCACAUCAUUUUAGGGUUUAUUAGCAUAAACAUAAUGUUUUACAAUAAAAGAGGUGAGAGUGUGUUCCUACUCUGUACUAGUCAGAAGACAGCAGGAAUAUUGUGCCUGGAGGCUAUUUUUUUAAAAAUGGGGACAGUGACAAAUUGGAGCAUGCCCAGAGGACAGAGGCCAAGAUGGUGGGGGAAACACAAACCAUAUGCCCUGAGCCUAGGGAUGUUUUCCCUGGAGAAAAGAAGACACUCAGGGGGCCAUGGAUGCUGUUUUCACAUAUGUGUGGAAUUCUCAUGGUGCAGAGGAUCAGAAAGAAUUAGAUUCAAAUCCUGGUCAGUUCCUCUUUGUGGCUCUGGACAAGGUCCCAAUUUCUCAAAGUCCUUUAUGAUAACACCUGGCAUAUGGCAAAUGAUUAGUAAGCAUGAGUCCCUUUCCUCUGUACCCUCAGUACCAAUAAGGGUGUAAGAAGCAGAUUUACACUUGGUAUGAAUAUGGAAUAUAGGCAGUGAGCCUUUAGAGAAAUCCAAGCACAGACUGGACAACCACUUGACUGCCCACCCUCAUGGAACCCUUCUGGAAGGCUGAAAUUCAAGGAACACAGAGGUUUGGCCCUUGCUGCCUUCUCUGACACUACCCCAGCCACCUUUAGGCCUUGGUCCCUGGCACUGCUUUUCUGAAAUGAACUUGAAACUCCGUGGACUUGGAGAGACCAGUGUCAGCUGUGAGGGUGAUGGACGGGGUUUGGCCACCUGCGGUUCCCCACCCCACACUGUGCCCUGUUAGUGGGGCACCUGGCAGGUUCCUUUGGGGGAUUUCCCUGCCUACAGAGUUCAGCCUGAGCUCCCUGGCUGAGCCUGCCAGGCUCUCGUGCACUGGGCCCUGCCUCCCUCACCUUCAUUUCUCCCCCUGCUCCACGCUCCUAAGCUACAGCAAAAUGGUGCCAGCCUCAGCUGCCACCACGCAUUCCUCCUCACUUAGAAAGGUGGGAACCUUUCUUUACUGGCUAAAUCUUCUUUCUUUGAGACCGGGCACAGGCGUCACUUCCAAGAAGGCCUUGGUCCCCUUCACUGUGUUCCUUUAGCGCCUGAGGUUGACUUUGCUCAGAUGUUGCCCACCCCAGGUGGUGUGGGAUGCUGCUUGCAAGAGGGGCCUCAGGGAUCAGACUGCUUGGGUUCAAGUCCCAGCUCUGUCAUUUACCAGCCAUGUGACACUGGGCAAAUUGCUUAACCUCCCUGGGCCUCAGCUUACUUGCCUAUGAAAUGGGGGUGACUGGGCUGCUGCCAGGACUAUGCGAGAUCACAUCUGAGGUCAGUAAAGCCCCUGGAACGUAGCAAGCACUAAGUUGACAUGACUAUUACCAUCAUUCAACAAAGCAUUUGUUAUAUGCCCAAUUGUGCUGCUAUCUUGGCUGAAUUGGGGAAGCACAAAGAACAAGAGAGAUGCAGUCUUGAUGCUCAGAGAAAUCUGCAAACAGAACCCUGAGAGACCUCAUGGCAACUGGAAUUCUGGUGGUAGGAAUAAUGGUUUGGGGUACUGCAGAGCCAGACCUGGAGAGGGGAGAGGCCCGAGGUAAGAUUUCUGCAUCCACACUGCUGGGAGAGAUCUCUGUAUUCCAUGAAAGGUUGGGACGCUUCCAGUCUAAAUGCAGACAUGUUCUUAUUUCAUCACAUUUUUGCUUCUUUGCAGGGUCAUUCAUACCAGCACACAAGCAUGCAGUGUUAUCUUCCAUCUUCAAAAACAAGAACAGAAACUCUCCCUUGAGGCCACACCCAUCUCUACACCAUUUCUCAGCUUCCUUUUCUAGAUUAUUUUCUCCAAAGAUUGACCUAUUCCCAGACUUUACCCUUCUCCCCCACAUACUCCUCCUUCCUCUCCCAUCACCCUUCAUCCCUCUAGACUAAUCUGACCUAGACCUCCGUGACCUCCACUUUGCCCAAACCACGGGAAAAUUUCCAUUCUCAUUGUACUUUGGCUUUGGGUUGUGACUUGACCAGGUGAUCGCUUCCCCAUUGCAUUAGUUUUCUAUGGCUACUGUAGCAAAUCGACAAACAUGUAGUGGCUUAAGACAGCACAAAUGUAUCAUUCUGCAGCUCUGGCGGUUAGGAGUGGGAGAGGGGUCUCAGGAGGCAGAGCUGCAGGCCGCAUUCCAAGAGCCCUGCUUCCACCUGUGCGCCCCCACCUCUGUUCUCCACACGGCAUCCAGAGAGAAACUUUCAGAACCGAACUAGGGCCCCCUUCCUCUUGCUCGAAUCCUCCAGUGGCAGCAGGGCUCAUCCCUUUGAAUAAACUGCAACAUCUCUGGCAUGCCCUCCAGUCCGUAUGAUGUCUGACCCCUGAUAUCAAUCCAAACUCUUCUCGCGCCCAUGACCCCCCCAUUUCCUGCACCCAACCCGCCCAGCCUACUCGCUGCCCCUCACACACCAUGUGUGUUACUGAUGCAAGGUCUUCACAAGGCUGUUCCCUCGCUUGGGAAGCUCCUCUCCCAGACACCUAUGUGGCCACUCAUUACAUUUAGGCCUCUGCUCAAAUGCCACCUCUUCUGAGAGGAAGUUUCUGCAUUGUUUUUCUUGUAUCAUAUACAUCUAAUUGUUUACUCGCUCUCUCUCCGAUUAGAAUACAAUCUCUGUGAGGGCAGAGAGUCUAUGCUCUUGCUCAAUUCUGGAUCUACAAAGAGUACAAACAGUUCCAGGCAUGUACAGUAGGCACCCCACAUAUGUUUGUUAUCUGAAUAAAUGAAGGAAUGAAUGAACAGACAGACUUGCCUUGGACGGGAGUGAGUUGGCCUGAGGCUCCCUGUCAAGGACACAAAGGAGUCAGAGAAGGAGGCAAGGCCUCUGGGGGAGACCGUGUCCACGGCAACAGAGGCUGGGGCCCGGCGGCUGUCUUGGGGGCAGGCCAGGGGAGGCGGGUGAGCUGGUGGAGCUUGUGGGGACACCAGGGGCACCAGAAAGUCAGUGCCCAGCCUGGCAUCCGGCUCAGACACUGAGACUCCGCCGCUUCCACCUCAUUGCCCUGGCCUUGGCAGACCCAGCAGAAGGGCUGCUGGCAGGGGCCUGGGUCUCAGCAGGCUGGCUUGGCACAUGCAGGACAACUCCCCAGCCUUCCACAAUCUUGCCCAGAGAGGCACCCAGAACCGUGAAAUCCUGGGUCAUCAGCCUAAAGGGAGCACGCCAGGUAGAGAGCGGCCCUGCAGCGGGACUGGAAGCGAGGGCACAAAACCCAUGCCACCUAGUGCGCUACUAGGAAUAGUGACCUCAGAGCAGCCAGCCUGCCUCUCCCUGGGUGCUGGGAGUGUCAGUUAGCUCACCUCGCCUAAUCCUCACAGCAACCCUCUGGGAAGGGGCCCAUGCAUCCACAGUUAAAAAUUGUGAGCUCAAGGGCAGAGAGGUGAAGGGGCUUGUCCAGAGUCACACAGUCAGUGCUGGAACUGGGACUCAGUAGCCCCUUGUCCUUCCGCUCCUCUUUGCAUCCUGCAUGUGAAUCCCUGCUGUGGUCAGACACACACCCCACCUGCACUUCCUGGGACUGCUUCUCACAGAAACCUUUCUUCCCCGUGCUGCGGGUUACACUGUGUGUCUUGUCCUUUGUACGUUCUUGAUUCUGGGCCAUUUGGGAAUCAUAUUUUAUUCCUGCUAUUUUGGUAAUGAAUACACAUCAUUAAUUCUUUUGACAAACAUCCACCGAGCCCCUGCUCUAUGCCAAGUGGGCAGUGAUGAAUACAACAACUCUAAUGCUUAGCAAGGAGCAUCUCCUCUGUGCCAGGCUCUGUUCUAUUGCCUUCAUGUAUAGACCCUUUCAGUUCUCACAGCUCCCAUCUGGGGUAGGAGAUGAUCCCAUUUCUGAGAUGAGGACACUGAGAUACCUGCUUAGUGAGUGGCAGAGUGGAGAUAGAAACCAAACCCAUCUGACUACAGAACUCUUAAUCACUGCUCUAUACCAAGUGAUAAGGUCUGAGGGAGAAGAAGGGACAUGGGCUGCAGGUGUGCAGGGGAGGGAGUAACACAUUUGAUUGGGUUCCUAUGUGAAGGGACAAUGAAGGAUGGAGGGAUUUCACCAGGUGGAGGAGGUAAGGACAUUCAAGAACAGAGGGACAAAUUCCAGACAAAGGCAGAGAAUUUCAAGUACUGAGUGGGUUCAACACGCAAUGGUUUCUAAGCUCCUUGAAGGCAAGAAAAUAGUUUUGUCUACCUUUGUGUUUAUCUGCUUCUCGAUAAAUAUUUAUUGAAUUUAAAAAAAUGGAAGAUUUCAUCUGGCUUAGCUCCUACCUUCUGAGUAAGAAAGAAAGAGCUGUGUAUUUGCUGAGGGCCUGCUAAGUACCAGCCCUUUCCCGUGUAUACGUCAGUGACCUUCGGGACAAGUCUGUGUGGGGAGCAUCGCCUCUGCUUUUCAGACAGGAGACUGAGAGCAAACAGGAAGUGCAGCUCCAUGCCUACCACUCACACCCAUCAGAGAUCAGAGCCCACUUCUUGUCCCCUUACCACAGUAAGUCCUCUGGAGCUGUUUCCACCUCUUGGGGUGAUGCCUGUGAAGCCAGUGUAGGGGCAUCAUUUUCUAUGACAUCAUUUCCUCUUUGCCCUUCGCACUUCCUCUCUCCUCCUCCCUGUGUCCCCCGCAACCCACUGAGGCCCUAUUCUCCUCAGAUCUAAUAAUCCCCUCCCUCUCAGAGUCAUGUGGGUGAUAGGACUUUCAAGGGGUGAGCAUUUUUUUUCCAAAACUAAAAAUUUAACUUUAUUAUUCCUUUCUUUAUUACAGAGCAUUCCAUGCUCACUGCUGAAAAAGUUAAGAGAUUCAGAAAAGCCACAUGACCACUGCAUGACUGGGACAAGCCUCAUGGGAAAUGAGCCUCAAUUUCUACAAAAUGUCAAAGAGGAAUCAAUUAUGUAUCCUGAGUGCAUAGUUUCUAUGUAUAGAUUUGUUCAUCACAGCAUGGCUUAUGCUCUUGAGAAAUUAGAAACUAACUGCAUGUCCAUCCAUAGGGGAUCACUUAAAUAAAUUUGGCAUAUCCAUACAAGGUCCACUAAAAAGUAUGAUGUCAAUCUCUAUUUGUUAAGUUAGAAACUUCUUGGCUUACCAUGGAAUGAUACAGGUAGUAUUACCGUGGAUGUAAUGCUUAUAUAUUCUGCUCUCCAUUCUUUUCCAUCCUGCUCUGUGCCCUAGGGUUUUGGCUUCUAUGGACUGCUGUCGAUGGGCUUUUCUGCCUUCUAACUCUGUCUGGGUUGGCCAGUGGGAGGCACUGGCAGUUGGAGAGCUGGGGUAGAGUGAGAUCAAGGUAUUUAUUCCUCUGGUUCCAUCUCUGUGGGUUUGCAGAGCUGGCUGUGUCUCUCCUGGAAGGUAUAGUUCCUGAUAAGCAACCCUCUCCAUACGGCUCUAGUUUAUAGUCACCGCUCCCUCCUCAUGACCUUCAAAUCUGGGGGUGAUAAUGGCUCCCCUCUUGCUGGUCCUGGUGCGCUACACUAUUCCUUCCUGGUUUUCUUCACCUCUGCUCAGACUAGUGAAAACAGUCUUUUUAUUAAACUUUCUUUGAUUACUUACCAGAAUGUUCCAUCUGUUUCUAUCAAGAGCCUAAGACAAAAAUAUAAUCCAACUUCGGUAAAAAUCUGUCCAUCUGUAAUCCAAUAAGGGAAGUCUGGAAAGAUGUCCAUGGAAGCAUCGUUGUCUCAGUGUGGUGAGAUUUUUUCUUCUUUAGGUUUUCCUGGAAAUUUUAAACUUUUCUACAAUAAGCGGGCAUUGUCUUUGAUUCAAGGAAAACAAACAAGCAAAUAAAACAGUUGUAAAGGUCAGGUGACAGCAGGACAUGAGAAGUGCUUUGUAUAUUGGGAACUGCUGCUCAAACUUGAGGUCCUAAUGAGUGAGCCAACUGGUGAAGGAUUUCUAGGAUAUUUGUAUUGAGACCCGAUUUCCUCAAAGGAGACUGAUUUCCCUCUCCAGCGAAGGACUCAGAUGUAAAUGGACCAGCCCUACAUCUGGGGCUCUCUUCAUUCUGGAGCAUCUCAGCAAACAGCCAAGCUCAGAGCAGCUCUUCUCUGCUCCCUCUGCCCUCCAGUCAGCCACCCACCAGCCUCUCC